GGGGGAUUACAAGAGGGGACGGACUCUCGAGUAAGCUCGUUUCCUUUGCGAAAAAGCAAGUUCCCGAGGAAAAAUCAUCCACGGGGUCUGCGCCUGCUCGAGGGUACACAGAGGGCAAGACCUCGUGGCAGCGAAGGAUGCUUUGUGUAAGACAGCAAAAGAAAAGCGGCUAAUCAGUGUUUUUUUUCAUUACAGAUGCGAGAUACUGUUUACCGGAUGACGCGUUUCUUUCUGAACAAUCAAUUCGGUCGGUUUUGUUUAGUGCCGGGCCUCAAAAUCGUCGAGAGAGGCUGCGUCGAAUUUUCAGCGACUAGCAGCUUGCUAGCAGCCCCACGGAGAGGUGGGGCUAUCGCCAACAAGAGCGACUAACCAGAGAGUUAGGAAAUGCGUAAAAAUGUGCCAAGGGAUUUUCAACGGCGAAGCAUUCCAGGGCAGUCGGUUUCUACGUGAAGCGAAGGCCCAGCUUUGGGGGUGGAGUUCUGGUGGGGUCGCGGUCAAGGCGCCAUACCAAAUGUCAAGGACACCCGCUUGAGAUACGAUCAUCGGAAUACGUAGGUCUGUCUAUUCAUAUUAACGAUAAUGGAUAUGUCAGUUGUCUGCGUAUGCUUACUGAUAUAGAUUUCAUUCUGUGCUUGUCGGAGCCACUUUGGGAUUCCUCAAUCAAAGUCUGCACAGCUCCUUGAAAUAUGCCGGCGCUGUUGAGUCGCGGAGCAAGGGUAACAGUUUUGUUUUCCAGUUUCCUCUCGCUGGUAAUGCCGGUGAUAACAUCCAUUCAUUCGCCUGGAACGUUGCUGAAGUGGAAUAACCUCAAUGUCGCC
rnacentral:lncRNA from 1 species